UCUACCUGCCUCAGCCUCCCAAAGUGCUGGGAUUACAGGCGUAAGCCACCGCGCCCGGCCACCUCACAGGUUUUAACGUGCAUCUACAUCACCCUGGGAUCUUGUGUCAAUGCAGGUCCUGAUUCAGUAGGUUCAGGAGGAGCCUGAUUCUGCUCGUCCAAGCUGCCAGGGUCUGAUUUCCUUUGUGUGAGCACUCCGCCACUAGGGGUUCUUUGGCUGGCAAGAGAAACUAGAGAAGUUUUGCUUCCAGGAGGGGAGAGGAGUGGAAGAGGUGGUAAAGGAGAGGGAGCAGUCAUUUCUUCAGUCAGAGUCACAGAGCUGUACCACUCAGGAUUUAGUAGCGGCAGUUGGAAGCCUCACGGACAAUACA
rnacentral:lncRNA from 1 species